rnacentral:rRNA from 1 species
CACGUAGGGCGCAAGCGUUGUCCGGAAUUAUUGGGCGUAAAGAGCUCGUAGGCGGACUGUCACGUCUGCUGUGAAAAGCUGGGGCUUAACCCUGGCCUUGCAGUGGAUACGGGCAGACUAGAGGUAGGUAGGGGAGAAUGGAAUUCCCGGUGUAGCGGUGAAAUGCGCAGAUAUCUGGAGGAACACCGGUGGCGAAGGCGGCAUCCUGGACCGGUAUUGACGCUGAGGCGCGAAAGCUAGGG